rnacentral:rRNA from 1 species
GACGAACUGUGCAAACGUUAUUCGGAAUCACUGGGCUUGAAGAGUGCGUAGGCGGUUUCGUAAGUAGGGUGUGAAAGCCCCCAGCUCAACUGGGGAACUGCGUCCUAAACUGCGAGGCUGGAGUGAGGUAGGGGUGUGUGGAACUUCCGGUGGAGCGGUGAAAUGUGUUGAUAUCGGAAGAGCACCAGUGGCGAAGGCGGCUCACUGGACUGGUAUUGACGCUGAGGUACGAAAGCGUGGGGAGCAAACAGGG